UCCUGUUUGCAGAGCACUUUGCAUCCGUCUCGGUACAUUCAGCGCGGCGUGAACAGUAUGCAGAGCAACACGUAUCUACCACAAAGCUGCAGAGCGGGGCUGGUGUGUAUGUAUAGGUAAUAUGGGGGUAUAGGUGUGUAUGUAUAGGUGAUAUGGGGGUAUAGGUAUGUAUGUAUAGGUAAUAUAGGGGUAUCAGUGUGUGUGUAUAGGUGAUAUAGGGUAUGAGUGUGUAUGUAUAGGUAAUAUAGGGGUAUAGGUAUGUAUGUAUAGGUAAUAUAGGGGUAUAGGUGUUUUUGUGUAGGUGAUAUAGGGUAUGAGUCUGUAUGUAUAGGUGAUAUAGGGGUAUAAGUGUAUAUGUAUAGGUAAUAUAGGGGUAGAUGUGUGUAUGUAUAGGCGAUAUAGGGUAUGAGUGUAUAUGUAUAGGUAAUAUAGGGGUAGAGGUGUGUAUGUAUAGGUGAUAUAGGGUAUGAGUGUGUAUGUAUAGGUGAUAUAGGGUAUGAGUGUGUAUGUAUAGGUUAUAUAGGGGUAGAGGUGUGUAUGUAUAGAUAAUGUAGAGGCUAUACGUGUAGACUGUUAGUUGGGGAGGUA